rnacentral:lncRNA from 1 species
AGAGGAGGAAAUUUCUCAGUUUGAUAUAGGAAAGGAUGACAGUAGCAGAUUAUGAAGCUAAGUUUGUUGAACUAUUCCAUUUUUCUUCUGUGUUUGUAACUGAUGAGAAAGAAAAAUGCAGAUUGUUUCAAGAUGGACUGUGCCUUGAGAUCAAAGCAAAGACAAAGAUGCAUAACUAUGGCAGAUUUGCAGACUUGGUUGCAAGAGCAGUUAGAGCAGAAAAAAUUGAGAAGGAGUUUUAUAAUCAAAAAUAGAAAAGGGGUAAGGGAAGUGCACAAGAUU